CUCUUCGACACUUCACGGUCCCUUACGUUCCCACGUAAAAGGCGUUCGGCCGCGACGAGGGGCAGCAAUAAGAGAUUACAGAAUGACGAGUUAUAAUUUUUCGAAAUAAAGGAUUCGCAGAAUGUGGAUGUAAUAUCUGGAUGAAGAUACUUCAAAAUUGAUUAAAUACGAUUCCUUUUAUUUUACUGCGCAUGUUUACAUGUUUAUUCUAUCAACUAAUUUGAGGUGAUAUCGAUGGAAUGAUGUAAGUAUGAAAUACGCAAAAA